rnacentral:rRNA from 1 species
AUUGAACGCUGGCGGCAUGCCUUACACAUGCAAGUCGAACGGCAGCAUGAUCUAGCUUGCUAGAUUGAUGGCGAGUGGCGAACGGGUGAGUAAUACAUCGGAACGUGCCCUGUAGUGGGGGAUAACUAGUCGAAAGAUUAGCUAAUACCGCAUACGACCUGAGGGUGAAAGUGGGGGACCGCAAGGCCCCAUGCUAUAGGAGCGGCCGGUGUCUGAUUAGCUAGUUGGUGAGGUAGAGGCUCACCAAGGCGACGACCGGUAGCUGGACUGAGAGGAAGAGCGGCGACAUUGGGACUGAGGUACGGACCAGACGCCAACGGGAGGCAGCAGUGGGGAAUAUUGCAAAAUGGGCGGAAGCCUGAUGCAGGAAAGCCGCGUGCGGGAUGACGGCCUUAGGGUUGUAAACAGCUUUCGCCUGUGACGAAGCGGGAGUGACGGUAAUGGGUAAAGAAGCACCGGCUAACUACGUG